UACGAAGGGGGCUAGCGUUGCUCGGAAUUACUGGGCGUAAAGGGUGUGUAGGCGGAUACUUAAGUCGGGGGGUGAAAGCCCAGGGCUCAACCCUGGAAUAGCCUUCGAUACUGGGUAUCUUGAGUUCGGGAGAGGUAAGUGGAACUCCGAGUGUAGAGGUGAAAUUCGUAGAUAUUCGGAAGAACACCAGUGGCGAAGGCGACUUACUGGCCCGAUACUGACGCUGAAAACACGAAAAGCGUGGGGGAGCAAACAGG
rnacentral:rRNA from 1 species